AGAGAAUAUGGCGAUUCGGCAACAGAGACUGGAGGAGAAAACGAAGAAGAGCAAAGUGUGACUGUUGAUGAUCAAUUCAUGGAACCUAGCUUUCGCGUAGUCCGUGAGAUCAAGCAUGGAGAGGAGAGAAUAAUUGAAGAGAUCGAACAUUUCAGUCAUCAACAUAACCUAAUCCUUAAUGACAAGGUUGAUGAUGAUCUAAAGUGUGAUGGGUGCAUGCUACCAAUCUCAACUCCAUUUUAUAGUUGUGCCAGGUGUAAUUUCUUUCUUGACAAAACCUGCAUAGAAUUACCCAAGAAAAAAAAGUGGCAAUAUCACGAAAACCAACUGAUUCUUUCAUGGAGCCGAAGGGAACAUUUUCUGUACAACUGUGUUGUGUGUAAUCAAUAUUUUCGUGGGCUCAGGUACACAUGUGAUGUAUGUCGUCUCUGCAUUGAUGUCCGAUGCUUCAAAUCAUUGAAAGAUUCUUUUAAACAUGGAGGUCAUGAGCAUCCCCUUUAUCUUCCAGCGGACAGAAAGAAAAUUCUCCGUUGCACUAUUGGAGGUCGCGGGGUUCCCCCUUGGGUUGCAGAUGACGGAGAGAUUAUUCCCCAUUGCAGUGGCUGUUGUGUCAGUGAAGAAUCAAAGGUAUUUUUUAAAUGUGCGGUUUGCGAUUUCAAGCUGGGUAUGAAAUGUGCUACACUGCCAUACAAAGCAAGACACGAGUAUGAUGACCAUCCUCUCUUCCUCACCUAUAUUAAUGCAAAUGACUACCAACCUUCCUGUAUAAUUUGUGAAGAAGAUAGAGACCCAAAGCUCUGGUUCUACCGUUGUGAGGAAUGCGACUUCGAUGCUCAUCCAGAAUGUGCUCUCGGGAAAUACCCAUUUUUCAAGCCAGGGGGUGUUCUAACAUAUCCUAAACACCCUCACCCUCUUGCUUUGGUCAUCAAGACAGAGGAUUAUCGUCCACAGGCAUGCGAUACUUGUGGUUUGCCUUGCGACGACUUGGCCCUAGAAUGUACUGAUCCUAACUGCAGUUUUAUCGUCCACCGGGAUAGAUGGGAAUGCUAUGAGUCAUUAUGGUGAUUGGAUUGCAGUUGAUGGCUUUUUUCUUAUUUUUGGGUUAUGAUUGUUGGGGUGAAUGGAUGGAUACAUAUGUAGCUUCAUACUUAUUAUUUUCGCAGAUGAGAUCACUUUUUUUUCUCUCUCUUUUUUUCUGAACAAUGGAUGCUAUUUUAUUAAAACUGUCAAGCUCUCCAUAAAUUCUGCAUUUACAUUUUCGUUAUAGAUUUUAUUGUAAAUGCAUAAAAAUAGUCAUAUAAAACAACACUUAUCUAACUGAUAUCAAUUAUUUUCAUUCAAAUAUUUAAUUUUUCUUUCCUUAACACAAUCUAAUAUUAAAUAAAUGUAUUUAAAUAAUAUUUAAAACGAACACCUCAAGGCCAUUCGAUAGCUUUGUCCUUUAAUAAGAUAUAUAAUGAAAAAAUAAGUUAAUUCAUGUUUUUGAUAUUUUUCUUCUUAAGAAGAAUUAAGAUUUUGCCUGUUUCACUUGCAAUGCAUGUGGCACUGAUUUGUUGAAGAUUAUUACCAUCAGACGUCACAUCUGUUGCAUUUCUUCGUUCAGCUAACCCAGUCUCAGAAAAUUUCUUCAUUUGUAUAGGUAUUGAUAUCAUAAAUAAAAUUCAAAAAAUAAAAAAUAAAAAUUUUAAUUCAUUUAAAAAAAAAUUUAAAUUUUUUUUUUUUUACCACUUCUCGUAGCAAUCCACGUAGCCUCGGUUUUACUUUGAAAACAACUUGGCAACUGAAUGGUGGUCCAGUUAAACGCAUUUUCUUAAUCAGCAGUUUUCCUUUUGAAAUGAAAACGGUUGGCGUGUACUUGUGCUUCCUUUUCUUUUUCUUUUUUUUUUGUUUUUUUUUUUUUAUUAACGUAGAUGUCCGGGUCACUUUGUGCGUACCUCAACUAAUCCCACAGACUCUGAAGUUAAUAACCAUGUAAGCCUCUAGUGGCCCUGAGAUUUGUAGGACUCGAAUGGGUGACCUCUAGAGAGCAAACCUAGGAUCUAACCAGUUAAGUUACACCUCUCAGGAUUUUUUCUUUUAUUUUUAUUCCAUAGUAAAAGGUAAUUUUUUAUUAGUUUAUAUGUUAAUCAAGAUUGAGUUUUUUUAUUCAAAUAAUUUUAAAGAUAAAUAAUUUAAAGUUAUGAAUCAUCUAAUAAUCCAUUUAAAGUUAUAAAGUUAUAUAGUUGUGAUGUGUCUUAAAUCAAAUAAAAACUAUACUAGAUUAUUAAUUUGCAUUACGCUACAGGCCAAGUUAAUUUUUUUAUAAAUAUAAAAAAAAUAUUUAGAUAUUGUUAAUUUUUUUUUUCAGUAAAAAAAUCUAAAUCACUUGAAGAUUGACCUGAUAUAACUUGGUUGAUUUUACGAGUCUAAAGCAACUCAUACAACCCGAAAAAACAUAGUUUGACUAAAAAAAAAUUUAAGAUGAUAUCUUUUUUAAUAUUAAGAUAAAAAUAUAUUUUACUGUUUUAUUAAAUUAAAUAUAGAAAAAAAAGUUUUUUAAUAGAAGUAAAAUAAACACUUUUGUCUUAUGAUUUAUGUGCACAUUAAAAUGUGUUUUAUAUACUUGAUUUGGUUCUUGAUCUAUAGUAAUGAAUCAGUUUUAUUUAAAUAAUUAAGUUAUUAUAUGAAUAUGAAUUGAAUAUAAAUAAUUAAGUUAUUUGAAACAAUAAACAAUAAAAGGACAUGAGAGGAUGAAUAUGAAUUGAAUCCUAAUUAACUCCACUCUAAAACUAAUAACUUAUUAUAUGGACAAGAUCCAUUAACUAAGAAACGGACCAAUCCAGUAGAAUACUAAGCAAUGGACCAAUCCAGUAACAAGAAGUUAAGGAGACCCACUUCAAGUCAACGAGCCUUCUUCUCCAACCAGAAAAGAAAGGGGAAAGUGUCUUCUUAUUCACAUGCUUAAAUAAUAUCAUCUGCACAAAAAGAUAGCUUUCCUCAUGAUCUUCUUCCCACCUCCUCCUUACAUAUAACACCCUUCCUUCCUUUUUGGGCUUCUUUGAAUUCUGGGUCCUUUGAAUUCCUUUUUCGUUUCGGCUUUCUGUCCCGUAAUCUUUGCUAAAUGGGAUGAAAGAAGAAAAAUGCUUCCCCAGCAAUUGAUUGGCUGAUCUGUAAUGUAGCAGCAAGCAGCUGUAAUUAUUUAAUUAGCCGUCGGUGAAGAGGUCAAGUUUCAGUUCAGAAGGUGAGGUAUUGAAUACUAGUGGCACUCAACUUUUAUUUGCCUUUCCAUUUCGAUAACAUAUAUAUUCGGCAGCUUCAGUCUUACCUUGGCUCAACACCCCUCAUUUCCUGCUCUGUCAUCUGAGAGGGCCAGAGACAUGGAGGUUGAACAUGUUAGCCACCCAGAUCAUCCAUUGAUCCUCAUUAAUCAAGUUCUCGAAUAUAGUUGUGAACUAGUUAUUUGCUCUGGAUGCGAGGGACCUAUAUGGGGUCCUUGCUACAGUUGCACCUCUUGCUACUUCUUUCUUCACAAGAAAUGCGCCGAGCUGCCCCGUGAGAUCAUGCGGCGCAUUCAUCGUAGACACCCUCUCCAUCUACUGCCAAAGCCACCGUAUAAAACACGAUGCUUUUGUGAUCGGUGCUACAAAACUUGCAACAGUUUUGUUUACCAUUGUUCUUUUUGUAAGUUUGAUCUAGAUAUCAAAUGUGCUUUUCAACCGGGUUUUUUGGAAGUUGAUAGUCAGGCACAUCAAUUUACCCACAAGGAUCAUCCAUUGAUUUUGAAUGAAGAGCAAGAAUAUCAUGGUGAAGGAGUUGUGUGCUGUGUGUGCAAGGAACCAAUGUCUGGUCCUAGCUAUAGUUGCACUUCUUGCAACGUCUUUCUUCACAAGAAGUGUGCUGAGCUACCCCCAGAGAUCAAGAGGCACAGUCAUCCAGAACACCCUCUUUGUCUACUGCCAAAUCAUCACAUGAUCUGUAGUUUUUGCAAAGAAACUUGCUAUGAGAGUUUUGCUUACUGCUGUUUUGUGUGCGAAUUCAACCUCCAUAUCAAAUGUGCUUUUCCACCGUGCGUUUAUGCAGCUGAUCAGGAUCAGGGGCAUCAAUUUAGAAGCCUGCUGAAUCCACGUUCAUUCAAAUCAAUCUCCUUCACUUGCAAUGCAUGCGGCACAGAUGGAUAUGGCUCCCCAUUCAUAUGCACCAUGUGCCAACUCGUGGUCCACGAAGAAUGCAUUUCAUUGCCAGGCACCCUUAAAAUAGCACUGCACCAUCAUCCCCGAAUCAUCCACACCUAUCAUCCUCAACAAUGCAUCGAAUCUAUAAACAAGUACUGUGGAAUUUGCUGUCGGGAAGUUGACACAGAAUACGGAGUUUACUAUUGCCCAGACUGUGACUUUGUUGCACACGUGAAUUGUAGCAGAGAAUAUGGCGAUUCGGCAACAGAGACUGGAGGAGAAAACGAAGAAGAGCAAAGUGUGACUGUUGAUGAUCAAUUCAUGGAACCUAGCUUUCGCGUAGUCCGUGAGAUCAAGCAUGGAGAGGAGAGAAUAAUUGAAGAGAUCGAACAUUUCAGUCAUCAACAUAACCUAAUCCUUAAUGACAAGGUUGAUGAUGAUCUAAAGUGUGAUGGGUGCAUGCUACCAAUCUCAACUCCAUUUUAUAGUUGUGCCAGGUGUAAUUUCUUUCUUGACAAAACCUGCAUAGAAUUACCCAAGAAAAAAAAGUGGCAAUAUCACGAAAACCAACUGAUUCUUUCAUGGAGCCGAAGGGAACAUUUUCUGUACAACUGUGUUGUGUGUAAUCAAUAUUUUCGUGGGCUCAGGUACACAUGUGAUGUAUGUCGUCUCUGCAUUGAUGUCCGAUGCUUCAAAUCAUUGAAAGAUUCUUUUAAACAUGGAGGUCAUGAGCAUCCCCUUUAUCUUCCAGCGGACAGAAAGAAAAUUCUCCGUUGCACUAUUGGAGGUCGCGGGGUUCCCCCUUGGGUUGCAGAUGACGGAGAGAUUAUUCCCCAUUGCAGUGGCUGUUGUGUCAGUGAAGAAUCAAAGGUAUUUUUUAAAUGUGCGGUUUGCGAUUUCAAGCUGGGUAUGAAAUGUGCUACACUGCCAUACAAAGCAAGACACGAGUAUGAUGACCAUCCUCUCUUCCUCACCUAUAUUAAUGAAAAUGACUACCAACCUUCCUGUAUAAUUUGUGAAGAAGAUAGAGACCCAAAGCUCUGGUUCUACCGUUGUGAGGAAUGCGACUUCGAUGCUCAUCCAGAAUGUGCUCUCGGGAAAUACCCAUUUUUCAAGCCAGGGGGUGUUCUAACAUAUCCUAAACACCCUCACCCUCUUGCUUUGGUCAUCAAGACAGAGGAUUAUCGUCCGCAGGCAUGCGAUACUUGUGGUGAGCCUUGCGAUGACUUGGCCCUUGAAUGUACUGAUCCUAACUGCAGUUUUAUCGUCCACAGGAAAAGAAGGCAAUGCUCUAACUCAUUAUGGUAAUUGGAUGGCAGUUGUUGGCUUUUUUCUUAUUUUUGGGUUAUGAUUGUUGGCAGUUGCCAGACAGAGGAUUAUUAUCUCUGUUUCUAUUUUCGCGUAUGAGAUCACUUUUUUGUUUCUCUGUUUUGUUCUGAACAAUAAAAGAUGCUAUUUUAUUAAAACUGUCCUUGAAGGUAGUUUGUUGUUUCUUUGAGCCUUAGUAAGUGACAAAGAUGUCCAUAAAUUCUGCUUUUACAUUUUUGUUAUAGAUUUUAUUGUAAAUGCAUAAAAAUAUUGGCAUAUAAAAGAACACUUAUCUAACUGAUAUCAAUUAUUUUCAUUCAAAUAUUUAAUUUUUAUUUCCUUAACAUAAUCUAAUAUUAAAUAAAUAUAUAUUAAAUAAUAUUUAAAACGAACACCUCCGGGGCAUUCGAUAGCCUUUUCCUUUAAGAUAUAUAAUGAAAACGUUUAGAAACUGAUUGAUUUUUAAUUUAGACAAAAAGCUCUUUCUAGCUCAAACCCAAUUUAAUUAUUUUUCAGGCUAAUUAAUGGAUAGUCCAGAAAAAAUAAUUAAUGCUUUUUGAAACUUCUACUGCAUUUUUUUUUAGCGGCAAAAACAAAUUAUUGAGUAAAAUCACUAUAUUAAAAUCAUAAUAUAAUUUGUUGUUUCUUUGUGCCUUCGUAGUGACAGAGAUGUCUGACCAUUUUUCUUAGCUUAGCAGGAAGCUCUCCAUAAAUUCUGCUUUUACAUUUUUGAUAUAGAUUUUAUUGUAAAUGCAUAGAAAUACUGUCAUAUCAAUUAUUUUCAUUCAAAUAUAAAAUAACACUUAUCUAACUGAUAUCAAUUAUUUUCAUUCAAAUAUUUAAUUUUUAUUUCCUUAAACACAAUCUAAUAAUAAAUAAAUGUAUUUAAAUAAUAUUUAAAACGCAUACCUCAAAGGCAUUCGAUAGCUUUGUCCUUUAAUAAGAUAUAUCAUGAAAAAGUAAGUUAAUUCAUGUUUUUGGUAUUUUUUCUUUUAAGAAGAAUAAGAACAAGUAUCGAUCUUCUUUAUCUAAUUUCUAAACCACGAAAGAAUAAGAACAAGCCAUUUCGAUCGAUCAUUUGGUUUUCCAUUUGCUAAGACAUGAUAAUCCCCCGGGGAGGAGAUAAUUAUGCUGGAAUUGACUUUGAUGUUACAACAAAAAGCUUGGCCAACAUUUCAAGUAUUAAAAUAAAAAUAUAAAAAAUCACCUGAGUCAACUCGAGUUAACCUAUUAAGUUAUUUAUAAAUCAUGAAUCGUGAUAACCUAAUAAAAAAAACUGAAAAAAAUCAUGAUGUCCAACUCAAUAUUAAAAAAUUAAAUUGAAGAAAAAAAUCAGUUAAGAAAAUAAAAUUAAAAAAAAACUUGAAUCAAUAGGGUUAACCACCCAAACUUAUGAUUUGAAUUAUAAGGCUCGGACAACAUAAUAAAAAAUAAAUUCAAUGUCAAAAAUGAAAUUGCAAAAAAAAAAUAGAGAAGCAUUUAUUAAAAAAAUAAAAUGAAAAAAAGAAAGAAAAAAAAAGCACUAUGAAAAAAGAAAAAAAAAGGCACUAAAGUGCUUUGUUUAGAUGCCACAGGUACUUUGCCUUAAUUUUUUCGGAGUUGAUCAAUGGAUUAACCAAGAAAUAGAUUUUACUUCUAACAUUCUCUGAAGAAAAUCUUUGUUUAACUUUCUUAAUACAUUUUACUGUAAGAAACAAGGAGAAAGGAAAAAGAAAAAGGACAAACGAGAAAUUACUUGGUUGAGAUAACCAAGAAAUAGGUUUAUCAACGGAAGGACCUAAUUUUCUGUUCCAGAUAAACUUGAUGAAUCCGCUGUUUCGUAUUUUAAUUAGUGCUUGUUUGAAAGUGUAGUUGCAGUUUUUUUUAAAAGUGUUUUUUAUGCUGAAAUAUAUGAAAAUAAUAUUUUUUUUAUUUUUUAAAAAUUAUUUUUGAGAUCAGUGCAUUAAAACGAUCCAAAACAUACAAAAAAAUUAAUUUUUAAUAAAAAAAUUUGAAUUUUGGUAUAACAUGGUUUAUACCGCGUUCAUCCAAACCACGUAUAAAAUAACAUCAUGUAUAAAACAUUAAUUCAAAAUAAAAAAAAUAUUGUUUUAAAAACAUUUUUAAAACAACAAACAAAUUAUAAGUUCUGAGUUUGAAUUAAAAAUACUUCUAUUUGAUAUGGUCAUUUCAAAAUAUUUUUUUUUUAUUUUUACAAAAAAAUCAAUUUUGUUGUUAGAGAAAAACAAAAAUCAAGGGGUCAAAAUUAAAAGUUUGGUGAAGUAGUAGCCUUUUUAAGAAAACAUAAGUGUCACAGCCUUUUAAACUUAAAAUUUGGUCAAAUAUUAGUUUUGAUCCCUUCGGCUUGGAAAUUAUACUAUUUGGUUCAAAAUUUUAUUUUAUUUACAUUUAAGUCAAUAAAUUUAAAAGAAAAGGGUAAAAGUUGCUAGAUUACAACGAAUGAGAGAGAAUUAUUAUUAAUCACAUUCUAACAAUCAAAAAAAAUCAUUCUUGAUAUUAAUGAAUUCUAUUUCAAAAAAAGAAUUUCAUUAAUGUAUUUUUUGCCCAAUGAACUUUUUUUAAACCCAAACAAAUAUUGAGUUUUUAUUAAGUUAUUCAAUAAGAGUUGGUACAUAUAACAUUAUGUGCAAUUUGCUUAAAUAUUUUAGUUAAUUCAAAUGAAAUAUCAUAAUAUUAGUUAAUUAUGUAAUUGUUCACAUUUCAAGGUUAUUAAGAGUUAAACCGUUUGAUUUUAAAAAUUAAAAAAAAAGUGUUUUAAAAUUAAGUGUUUCCUUUUUUUUCUCCUUAAUGUUUUUUGGUUACUUAAUUUUUUUUUUCAAUUUGAUCUUUACAUAUUUAUUAAAUUUAGAAUUAAGCUUCAUGAUAUAUUUCAUGCUCUUUUCUUUCGAGUUUUCAUGGUCUUUUAAAACAUCAUGGCAUUGAGUUUGUUUUUAAUUUUACAAAGAAGAAUUCAAUUUGAUUGUUUACAAAGAAUUAAAAAUGAGAGGAUAAAAAUUGAAAAUUAGGUGAAAUGGUAGCUCUUUAGAUGAUAUUUUCACUUCUCAGUGCUUAAUUUCUUGUUUUUUUUAGUUCGGUCAUCGAGCUUUGUUUUUUUUCAAAUUUACCCUUUCACAUUGCAUUGAUUGAUGAUUUGGUUCGUAUUGCUUCUUUCAGUUUAUCAUAAUCUCCAAAAAACUACCACCACAUUAGGUUGGUUCUCUAUUUUACAAAAAACAAAAAAUCAAUUUUUUUGUUAGAGAAAAACAAAAAUUGAGGGGAUCAAAAUUAAAAGCUUGGUGAAAUGAUAACCUUUUUAAAAAACAAUGGGUGUUAAAGUCUUUUAGACUUAAAAUUUAGUUCAAUAUUAGUUUUGGUCCCUUCAGCUUGAAAUUAUACUAUUUGGUUCAAGAUUUUAUUUUAUUUACAUUCCAAUUCUUAAAUCUAAAAGAAGACAAUAAAAGUUAUUGUUAACCAUAAUUUAGCAACCGAAACAAGUUGUUCUUGAAGUUAAUGGGUUCUAUUUCAAGAUAAGAAUUCCUCAUCAGAUUUCAAGAUAAUGGGUUGUUUAGAGUAGGUUUGUUUUCAUGUUUUAAAAAUAUUUUAAAAAAAAUUUAAUUUUUUUUGUUUUAUAUUAAUUUUUUUGUGUUUUUAAAUCAUUUUAACGUGCUAAUGUCAAAAAAAAAAAUUAAAAAAAAAAUAUUAUUUCGAUAAAUUAUUUAAGUGAAAAACACUUUGAAAAACAAUUCCCACCACAAUACAAAAAAAAACUCUUAUUAGUUGAAACUAAAUUAUUGGUAGCGCUAAAUUUUAUCUAAAUUUCUUUUAACAUAAAAAAAAUAUUCAGAUGUUGUUAAUGAUUUUUUUCUAAUGAAAAAAAAAUUAAUGCAAGAGUUGAUUUGAUGUGACUUGGUAUAUUUGACAGGUCUAAAAACAAUCCAAAUGACCAGUAAAAACAUAAUUUAACUAAAAAAUUAAUAUAAUAUUUUUUUUAAUAUUAAAAAGAGAAGUUAUUGAAUCGACUUGAAUCAAUGUAGGUUAACAUAUCAAAUUCAUUACCUGAGUUAUGAGAGCAGUAGGAAGUUUGAAUAAGAAGUGCACCUAUUUGAUAGGUCACCUCAUUUGAUGAACAGUGGUCAUUUCAAUCACAAGUUUUGCCUACUCCUCGAGGCACGAACACAUAACCUCCAAAAACAAAUCACUAAUUAAUGUGUGAUACAUAAACAAAGAAAAAUAAAUUACUUGAUUUGCUGCUGUAAAGAUAUUAAACUUACAUACACCCAUAUUAUUUUAUAUUAAAUAAAUAAAAUUAAUAAAAUUUAAACUUUUGAUUAUUCAAGACUCUAGUAUUAUAUAAAAAAUUAUUUUAAUUCAGUAACUUAAAUUAUUAAUUAAAGAGGAAAUGAGAAAUUGGUCCGUGCCCACCAUUCCAGAAUACAAUAGACAUCCAGCUCACAUGAUUACUUUUACAUGGAUAAUCAGUCAAGACAUGACCCUGGGGCUCUCAUGAUUUCACGUGAACAACAACAUUUUCUCAUUGGCAAAGGUUUUCACAAUGAUGCUGACUUGAAGACGUGACAAAUGCCUUUUUUUUUUUUUUUUUAUCUGAGAUUUUAAAAUAUAAUUUAUAUUAUUUUUUAAUAAAUAUAAUUUAAGGUAUAAUUAUCAAACCUAUUCUAGCCGGUAAGUCGACUUAAAGUCUAGCCACCCAGGCUUGAUUUCUUUUUGAACCAAUAAAUCAACCUUUAACCUGGUUACUGUAUCAAACUUGAGUGAGAUUUAAUCAGGUUAUUUCCAAGGAAUUUUACAAAAAAUUAUCUCGAUGUUUUGUUUUCAAAAAACCACUAAAAUGAUAUCGUUUUGAAACUAACCACUCUGUUACUGGGGACUUUAUUCGGGUAUGAUAAAGUUCAACAAGAUUUCCUGCUUUAUAUAGUUAUUUGAGACUCUUUUGUGUGAGAAUCCAUGGAGUUUUCAUCUGUUCUUUACAUUUGUUUUGUAUCUGUUUCAUUAUCAGUAUCAUCAAAUAAUUUGUUGAGUCUGACAGAUAGAAAUUAUCCCAGUUCAUUCACAGGAUGAAGACUGGCGAAGAAUCAAGCGAGAAAAAUGAUAAGGGAGAUCAAGUUUGCGGGUUAGCAGCAAAUGUGAAAAAGAAUUUGGAAACCUUAGGUCCAAAUCCUUUAUCGGAAGAGUGUUGUAUCUAUAAAGUUCCAAAGCGACUGCAAGUGUUAAACGACAAGGCCUACACACCUCAAGUAGUCUCCAUUGGUCCAUUUUUAUGUAAUACUAUUUAACUUACUUGAUUUGCUGCUGUAAAGAUAUUAACUUAUCAGUAACCCUUCUUUUUUGUUCUAAGUUCUGUAUAUAUCACAUUUCUUGAUUUGUAGAGAACAAAAACAUAAUUAACCUCGACUUCAUUAAUAAUUAUAUAUCUAAUACAUUUUAUAAAUAACUACAAAAUUAUACAAAAAAAACUAGAAGUCAUAUGUUAAUCACUAUAUGGCUUGUGAGAGGAUUUGUUUUGGAUUGCAAAGUGUUUCUUUCUAUUUUUCAUUAAAUUUUUUUCAGUUACUUAUUUUUUUUCAAUUUAACUUUUACACAUUUAAUUAAUUUAAGUAAAAAACACUUUAAAAAACAAUUAAAAAAAAUUAUUCUUGAUGUUAAUAAGUACCAUUUCAAGAUAAAAAUUUUAUUACUGUAUGUUUUGCUCCUCAUCUUACUAGAAAAAGUAAAUUCUUUAGGGAUUUUUUUUUGAACCGGAACAAAUUUUGAAUUAUUUAAUCAAUUAAACAUUGUUUAGAGGUUAUGUUUACGAGGUGUUUAUAAGUGUUUUUAAGUGAAAGAAAUGAUUGAAAUGUUGUUUUGUGUUCAAAGAGAGGGGAGCAAUUUUCUAGUGACUUCCAGCCUCUAGAGUUUCUCGACGAUGAAACAAAUAGGUGGCGUGUUUUUAAUUUGUCACUACAAAAAACAUAUUGGAUUAAUUAGAAAAAAAAAAAAAUGUGUUGAUUGACGUGCUAGGCCUCCUGGAUCAGUGCUUAACCAUUUUUUGCCCUUUUAAGUCUAUUUAAUGUAGAAUUAGAUAACUAAAUAUAUAUAUAUAUAUAUAUAUAUAUAUAUAUAUAUAUAUAUAUUUAUUAAUUUAUUAAAUUAAUACAAAAUAUAUUAAAGGUGUUUUUUUUAAUUAACAUUAAAAUUUUAGUUUUAGUUUGAAUAAUGUUAUAGUUGUCUUUUUAAAAUUUUGACAACCAUUAUUUUUUAACAAACAAUUAUUAUUUUUAGUUUCUCCAACAUUUUUUUUUCGAAAUGCAUUCAAUGAUUACCUUAUGAUUUAUAAUACUAUAAAUUUGACUUGACAUGUUUUAAACAAUAAAUAGUUAAAUUUUUAUUUUUAUUAUAUAUAAUUGAUGCCAUUUUUAUUUUAAUUUAAUAAUUUGUGGGUAAUAAACAUGAAAAAUAUGAUAUGAAAUAACAUGAGAGGAUCAAUAUGAAUAUUUGAAUUAAGAUCCUAACUCCACUCAAGAUAGCUCCUCUAAGACUAAUAGUUUCUAAUACUAUUCUUCAUUUUCAUCUUUUGUUUUGUAUUCAUUGUUAAAUUAUUAUAUGGACAUGAUCCAUUUUCAUCUGAAUUUAAUGAACAUGAUGAAAUGUGAUAUAUAAGAGAAUGUGUUUUCAUUUUUUUUUUAUAUCUCUAAUUAUAUAAUUUAAUUCCAAGAUAAAUGAUCUUCUCUAACAUGUCCUGUCUAUGUUUUCCAUUCAAAUUAACAGAAAAGCCACACGACCUUCACAAAUGUAUUUUGAUAUAUAAAAAUAUCACUUACUCUAUAUAUAUAUGAUAAGUAGCUCAUUAUUUCUUAUAUCUCAAAGAUUGUUUCUAAUAAGUCUUUAUAAGUGUAAUUAUAUCAGUUAUAUCUUUAAUUUUUAGUUAAGUUAUUCAAUAAGAGGCUGUGCAAUUAUAUCAGUUAAAAAAAUAAGUGUAUUUUUAGAAAGUUACUUCUCAUUUCUUAUUUUCUUGAAAUAAAUUAGAUAAAAAUAAUUAAAAUAAAAGAGAUAAGAUAAAAUAUAAGACAAAGAAAAAGUUGUAUUUAAUAAUAAUAUAUAAGUUAGAGUAAUUGUCUUUAUACAAAUAAUAUAUGAAACCAUCCAAACUUAUUUGAAACAAUAAAUAAUUAAGUUAUUAUAUGAAUAUUAAUUGAUUUUAAAUAAUUAAGUUAUUUGAAACAAUAAUCAAUUAAAGGACAUGGGAGGAUGAGUAUGAAUUGAAUCCUAAUUAACUCCACUCUAAAACCAAUAGUUUCUAAUACUAUUUUUCAUUUCAAUCCUUUACCUUGUAUUUAUUGAUAAAUUAUUACAUGGACAUGAUCCAUUAACUAAGCAAUGGACCAAUCCAAUAGAAUAAAGACAUUUGUUUGCAUAAUUAAAACAACAAUAAUUCUAAGAACCUAUAAUUAAUCUGGAAAGAAAAUAGAAAGGAAACUCAUGAUCUUCCUCUACCUCUCUCUUUUCAUUAUAAAACCUAGAAAUCCAAAGGCAAUACUUUAUGUAAGGGAUGAUAAAGGAUGCUUAUGAGUCGGCUUUUCAAAAUGAAAUGGUAAUUUCUUCUACGAUUUUGCUUUAGAUAUAUUGAUUUACGAUUUUGAUAAUUAAAGUAUUUUACCAUACAAUUUUAAUGUUUAGAGGUGCUCUGAUGCACAAUAAUUAGAGUUAGUUUAUUUUUAUAUUUCGAACAGGCAAACGAGUAAUAUAGGAAGUUGAGGAAACCCAUCAAAAGUCAACGAGCCUUCUUCUCCAACAAGAAAAGACAGGGGAAAGUGUCUUCUUAUGCACAUACUUGAACAAUCUCACCCUCACAAAUAGAGGAGCCUGUAGCUUUCCUCGUGAUCUUCUACCCGCCUCUUCCUUACAGGUAACGCCCUUUCUUCCUUUUCGGGCUUCUUUGAAUUUUGGGCCCUUUGAGUUAUUUUUCGUUUCGGCUCUGUCCCAUAAUCUUUGAUAAAGGGGAAGAGGGAAGAGGUCAAAUUUCAGUUCAGAAGGUGAGGUAUUGAAUAAUGAAUACUAGCAGCACUCAACUUUUAUUUGCCUUUCCAUUUCGAUAACAUAUAUAUUCGGCAGCUUCAAUUUGGCCUGCCUAAGUCUUGUCUUGGCUCAACACCCCUCAUUUCCUGCUCUGUCCUCUAAGAGAGCCAGAGACAUGGAGAUUGAACAUUUUAGCCACCCAGAUCAUCCAUUGAUCCUCAUUAAUCAAGUUCUCGAAUAUAGUUGCGAACUAGUUAUUUGCUCUGGAUGCGAGGGACCGAUAUGGGGUCCUGGCUACAGUUGCACCUCUUGCUACUUCUUUCUUCAUAAGAAAUGCGCCGAGCUGCCCCGUGAGAUCAUGCGGUGCAUUCAUCCUAGACACCCUCUCCAUCUACUGCCAAAGUCACCAUAUAAAGGAGAAUACGGUUGUGAUCGCUGCCAAAAAACUUGCAAGAGUUUUGUUUACCAUUGUUCUGUCUGUGAAUUUGAUCUUGAUAUCAAAUGUGCUUUUCAACCGGGUUUUUUUGAAGUUGAUAGUCAGGCACAUCAAUUUGCCCACAAGGAUCAUCCAUUGAUUUUGAAUGAAGAGCAAGAAUAUCAUGGUGAAGGAGUACAGUGUUGUGUGUGCAAGGAACCAAUGUCUGGUCCUAGCUAUAGUUGCACUUCUUGCAACUUCUUUCUUCACAAGAAGUGUGCUGAGCUACCCCCAGAGAUCAAGCAGCAUUUGCAUCCAGAACACCCUCUUCGUCUACUGCCAAAUCAUGAUAUGAUCUGUGAUUUUUGCAACGAAACUUGCUAUGAGAGUUUUCUUUACUUUUGUAUUGUGUGUGAAUACAACCUCCAUAUCAAAUGUGCUUUUCCACCGUGCAUUGAUGCAGCUGAUCAGAAUCAAAGGCAUCAAUUUAGACGCCUAAUGAAUCCACUUUCAUUAAAAUCAAUCUCCUUCACUUGCAAUGCAUGUGGCACAGAUGGAGAUGACUCCCCAUUUUGGUGCACUAUGUGCCAACUCGUGGUCCACAAAAAAUGCAUUUCAUUGCCACGCACCCUUAAAACGGAACUGCACCAGCAUCCCCGAAUCAUCCACACCUAUCAUCCUCAAAAACGCAUCGAAUCUAUAAACAAGUACUGUGGAAUUUGCUGUCGGGAAGUUGACACAGAAUACGGAGUUUACUAUUGCCCGGACUGUGACUUUGUUGCACACGUGGAUUGUAGUGGAGAAUAUGGGGAUUCUGCAACAGAGAUUGUAGUAGAAAACGAAGAAGAGCAAAGUGUGACUGUUGAUGAUCAAUUCAAUGAACCUAGCUUUCGCGUUGUCCGUGAGAUCAAGCAUGGAGAGGAGAGAAUAAUUGAAGAGAUCGAACAUUUCAGUCAUCAACAUAACCUAAUCCUUACUGACAAGGUUGAUGAUGAUCUAAAGUGUGAUGGGUGCAUGUUACCAAUCUC
rnacentral:lncRNA from 1 species